rfam:Paenibacillus sp. DMB20 mira_8, whole genome shotgun sequence.
UACAUCCUGCGAUGUGCGUUUCGGUAUUCCGUUGUUUUGAACCAAUGACGAUGUCUAGGGAGAUCAACAUCGAAUCGUGGCUGAAAAGCCCUGUCUAUACGACAAGGGGAAUUCAAAAACGGUUUUGCGAUCACCCACCUGCUAAUGCAGGUUCGAAGACAAUGUUACCGGACGGCAUAGGCGGGUUUCUA